AGAUUGAACGCUGGCGGCAGGCCUAACACAUGCAAGUCGAGCGGCAGCACGGGUACUUGUACCUGGUGGCGAGCGGCGGACGGGUGAGUAAUGCCUAGGAAUCUGCCUGGUAGUGGGGGAUAACGCUCGGAAACGGACGCUAAUACCGCAUACGUCCUACGGGAGAAAGCAGGGGACCUUCGGGCCUUGCGCUAUCAGAUGAGCCUAGGUCGGAUUAGCUAGUUGGUGGGGUAAUGGCUCACCAAGGCGACGAUCCGUAACUGGUCUGAGAGGAUGAUCAGUCACACUGGAACUGAGACACGGGUCCAGACCUCCUACGGGAGCAGCAGGUGGGGAAUA
rnacentral:rRNA from 1 species